CCCUUAGAUGUUCUGGGCUGCACGCGUGCUACAAUGAAGCGUCCAACAAGAUGCGAAGCCGAAAGGCUCAGCGGAUCUUUGAAGUCGUUUCGUGACCGGGACAGUUGAUUGCAAUUAUUCGACUCGAACGAGGAAUUCCUUGUAAUCGCGAUUCAUCAUAUUGCGCUGAAUACGUCCCUGCCCUUUGUACACACCGCCCGUCGCUCCUACCGAUUGAGCGAUCCGGUGAAUUAUUUGGAGUGUCCACGCAAGCCAAUCCGUUUACGUGGGUGCGAAAUUUUGUAAACCUUAUCGCUUAGAGGAAGGAAAAGUCGUAACA
rnacentral:rRNA from 1 species